CAUCAUCACUUCUGACUAUGAAAAAUCAAUUCAAUGGGAGGAUGUUCAAAAUUCAAAUGAAGAGGUUAUACACAAAAAAUCAGGAUACAACACUAAAGUUUUCCAUUUUAUCAUACUUGGAGAAACAACCUGUGAUCCAUAAGUCAGUGCCGCCAACCAUGGUUGAUGUUCCAGAGGUGAAAAAGUGCAUAAUUGAACAUCUUAGCUCUGAGACAAGCAAACAUCAAAAUACAACAAACAAAUGCAGCUCAUCUUCUCAGAAACAUAGCAUGGAAAUGAGAACUUCUUCUAUGAAGAAAAAUUGAAAGCGCAAAAGUUCAUCUAUCUAUGCACGUAGCCUAUAAAUCUAACUACCAUUGCAACAACUGAUGCACAGUGCUAUAUUUUUGAGGGAAAGGUGGGAUAUAUGGCGUCAUCAGAAAUUGCAGAGAAGAUUGUGUUGUGGAUUGAUCUGAGGUGAUUUUAUACACUUUGGUAUCAUUAUUCUAGCUUAUUUUGCCUUAUUUUGAGAGAAAUUCG